GACGAACGCUGGCGGCGUGCUUAACACAUGCAAGUCGAGCGAUGAAGUUUUUUCGGAAAUGGAUUAGCGGCGAACGGGUGAGGAACACGUGAAGAAUCUGCCCUCCACUUUGGGAUAACACAGGGAAACCUGCGCUAAUACCGAAUAUUGAAGCAUAAGUGGCAUCACUGAGUUUUGAAAGAAUUUCGGUGGAGGAUGACUUCGCGGCCUAUCAGCUAGUUGGUGAGGUAAUGGCUCACCAAGGCAACGACGGGUAGCCGGCCUGAGAGGGCGACCGGCCACACUGGGACUGUGACACGGCCCAGACUCCUACGGGAGGCAGCAGUGGGGAAUAUUGGGCAAUGGAGGAAACUCUGACCCAGCGACGCCGCGUGCGGGAUGAAGGCCUUCGGGUUGUAAACCGCUUUCAGUAGGGAAGAAGCGAAAGUGACGGUACCUACAAAAGAAGCACCGGCUAACUAUGUGCCAGCCGCCGCAGUAA
rnacentral:rRNA from 1 species